ACCCGAAGGAUAGCUCAGUUGGUAGAACAUAAGACUUUUAAUUUCAGGGUCAUGGGUUUGAGCCGUACAUUGGGCA